rnacentral:rRNA from 1 species
AUUGAACGCUGGCGGCAGGCCUAACACAUGCAAGUCGAACGAGUGGCGGACGGGUGAGUAAUGUCUGGGAAACUGCCUGAUGGAGGGGGAUAACUACUGGAAACGGUAGCUAAUACCGCAUACCAUCGCUUGUGCCCAGAUGGGAUUAGCUAGUAGGUGGGGUAAAGGCGCCCCUAGGCGACGAUCCCUAGCUGUUCGGAGAGGAUGACCAGCCACACUGGAACUGAGACACGGUCCAGACUCCUACGGGAGGCAGCAGUGGGGAAUAUUUCACAAUGGGCGCAAGCCUGAUGCAGCCAUGCCGCGUGUAUGAAGAAGGCCUUCGGGUUGUAAAGUACUUUCAUCGGGGAGGCGUUACCCGCAGAAGAAGCACCGGCUAACUCCGUGCCAGCAGCCGCGGUAAUAC